rnacentral:rRNA from 1 species
GCGGCAGGCCUAACACAUGCAAGUCGAGCGGUAGAGAGAAGCUUGCUUCUCUUGAGAGCGGCGGACGGGUGAGUAAUGCCUAGGAAUCUGCCUGGUAGUGGGGGAUAACGCUCGGAAACGGACGCUAAUACCGCAUACGUCCUACGGGAGAAAGCAGGGGACCUUCGGGCCUUGCGCUAUCAGAUGAGCCUAGGUCGGAUUAGCUAGUUGGUGAGGUAAUGGCUCACCAAGGCGACGAUCCGUAACUGGUCUGAGAGGAUGAUCAGUCACACUGGAACUGAGACACGGUCCAGACUCCUACGGGAGGCAGCAGUGGGGAAUAUUGGACAAUGGGCGAAAGCCUGAUCCAGCCAUGCCGCGUGUGUGAAGAAGGUCUUCGGAUUGUAAAGCACUUUAAGUUGGGAGGAAGGGCAGUAACCUAAUACGUUAUUGUUUUGACGUUACCGACAGAAUAAGCACCGGCUAACUCUGUGCCAGCAGCCGCGGUAAUACAGAGGGUGCAAGCGUUAAUCGGAAUUACUGGGCGUAAAGCGCGCGUAGGUGGUUUGUUAAGUUGAAUGUGAAAUCCCCGGGCUCAACCUGGGAACUGCAUCCAAAACUGGCAAGCUAGAGUAGGGCAGAGGGUGGUGGAAUUUCCUGUGUAGCGGUGAAAUGCGUAGAUAUAGGAAGGAACACCAGUGGCGAAGGCGACCA